rnacentral:rRNA from 1 species
CAGUUCAUUGUAUGUUCAAAAAACUAUAAACAAAUUAAACUUUCAACAACGGAUCUCUGGUUUCUCGCAUCGAUGAAGAACGCAGCGAAUUGCGAUGAGUAAUGUGAAUGNCAGAAUUCAGUGAAUCAUCGAAUCUUUGAACGCAUCUUGCGCUCCUUGGUAUUCCGAGGAGCAUGCCUGUUUGAGUGUCAUGAAACUCUAUCAACCACUGUUCUUCUUUAUUGAUAAACUUUGGCUUGGACUUGGGCGCUUUGUUGGUUUUCUUUCGGGAGAAUCGACUCGCCUUAAACGAAUUAGUGGUCUUUGCAGCCUAAGCUUGGUUAGCAUCGGUCUUGACAUGAUAAGAAAUUGUCGUCGAGUCUGGUGUUUUUGUCUGUUUAUUCAGAGUCAAGCAUAGUGCGCGAUCUGCUUCUAACUCUAAUCGGUCUAACCGAUUAACUUUUAUGAUCAGGCCUCAAAUCAGGUAGGACUACCCGCUGAACUUAAGCAUAUCAAUAAGCGGAGGAAAAGAAACUAACAAGGAUUCCCCUAGUAACGGCGAGUGAAGCGGGAUGAGCUCAAAUUUAAAAUCUGGCAGUCUCCGAUUGUCCGAGUUGUAAUCUAGAGAAGCGUCUUCCGUGC